rnacentral:rRNA from 1 species
GAGUUUGAUCCUGGCUCAAGAUGAACGCUGGCGGCGUGCCUAACACAUGCAAGUCGAACGGGCGCGGCGUGCGGCAGGGGCCUCGGCCCCUGCGGCGCCGCGCGAGUGGCGGACGGGUGAGUAACGCGUGGGCAACCUGCCCUGUACUGGGGGAUAACACCUGGAAACAGGUGCUAAUACCGCAUAAGCGCGCUGUGCCGCAUGGCGCGGCGCGGAAAACCCCGGUGGUACAGGAUGGGCCCGCGUCUGAUUAGCUGGUUGGCAGGGUAACGGCCUACCAAGGCGACGAUCAGUAGCCGGCCUGAGAGGGUGGACGGCCACACUGGGACUGAGACACGGCCCAGACUCCUACGGGAGGCAGCAGUGGGGGAUAUUGCACAAUGGGGGGAACCCUGAUGCAGCGACGCCGCGUGGGUGAAGGAGCGUUUCGGCGCGUAAAGCCCUAUCGGCAGGGAAGAAGAUGACGGUACCUGACCAAGAAGCCCCGGCUAACUACGUGCCAGCAGCCGCGGUAAUACGUAAGGGGCAAGCGUUAUCCGGAUUUACUGGGUGUAAAGGGGGCGCAGACGGCAAUGCAAGCCAGGAGUGGAAGCCCGGGGCCCAACCCCGGGACUGCUCUUGGAACUGCAUGGCUGGGAUACAGGAAGGGCAGGCGG